rnacentral:lncRNA from 1 species
GGCCGCUCCCCGCCCGUGGGGGCCCCGAGGACCGGCAGAGGGCGCCCAAGCCCCGCGCAGAGCCGGGGGGUGCCCGGGGAGCUGCUGGGGGGGGAGCCGGGGAUGCUCCGGGGAGGGCCCUGGGGGAGCCGGGGAUGCUCCGGAGGUACCCGGGGAUGCUCCGGGGGUGCCCGGGGAUGCUCCGGCCCCGCAGCCCCGUCCCUUCCCGCAGGUGCAGCUGCUGAAGGACCAGCUGGCAGCGGAGACGGCGGCGCGCAUCGAGGCGCAGGCCCGGGUGCGGCAGCUGCUGCUGACCAACCGCGACCUGCUGCAGCACGUCUCGCUGCUGGUGCGGCAGCUGAAGGCGCUGGAGAGCCGGGCACAGCGCCGGCAGCCGGUUGACCGCUCGCUGCAGAACCUGUCCCUGGCGCAGUCGCUGUCCCUCAACCUGAAGAACCACUACAGCCUGGACAUCGCCCUGCCCUCCACCUCCACGCCCGCCAGCGUCCUGGGCAGCCCCGUGGGCCCCCGCUCGUUGUCGGCUCUGGGCGCUGGGGAUUCCUACCUCAACCUGCUGGGCCUGGAGAGGGGCGGCCCCCGCUUUGGCAGCAAGGAGGGGGACGAGGGGCUGACCACCGCGCUGGAGGGGCAGGAGGGGCUCAGCAGGCGCGUGGAGGGCUCCGAGGUCAGCGAGGUGGCUCUGCUCAACGGGAGCGGCCGGCAGAAGGCAGAGGAUGUGGACAGAGGGGACGAAGACAGGCGGCAGCAGCCUAUUCCCAAGCUCAACCCGCCGCCACCCAUCCUACGCAAGAGGUCCAGCAAGACCUCCCCGAGCCUGGAGGUGGAGGCCAAGCCCGAGAGCACUGCCCACGUCAGCCUUCCCAGCCCCAGCGUGUCCAGCCUCACCAACAUCACUGCCAGCUCCCUCACCCUCUUGGACUCCGAGGCGAGGACUCCUGCUUGGAGCACUGCCUCCAGCUCAGAGCCCGUCCCCUCCAGGACCUUCCAACGUGUUCUCAGCAAGGACAGGGCUGGGGAGAACGGGCACACGUCCCCACCAGCCGGCUGCCACGACCCCGCAGCCAGCGAGGUCCUGGGCAAGGACUUGGCUGUGCUGGUGAGCCCCACGGACAGCAUAGUGCCCUUCUCUCCUGCGGACGACACCUGCCUACACAUCAGCUUCUCAGAAGAUGAGCUGCUGGAACCAGAGCUGGACGCUGCUGUGGGGCCCAGCAGAGUCCCCUCGUAG